ensembl:miRNA Mir6333 microRNA 6333
GGAAGGAGUCCAGGCUGCUUUGGUCCCCAGGUUAUGGCUGCUCACCUCCACCUGCCAGACAGGUAGGCUGGACUUGAACAGCCCGCCUGGUGUCCCCCGCAGGCUGCGUUA